UGAUAGCCUUGCUUAGCUAGAGAAUUUUAUCAGUACAUUUGGUCCCCGUUUAUCAACUUUGUCACGAAAAGACAAAAUAGAAAUGGCAUUUCAUGCGACACCAAAGAAUGGCAGGCUUCCGUUCUUUACGCGUUCUUCAAUCCUACCAAUCAUGAUUGCCACCAUCUUUCUUAUGCAAAUGGUUUUGACUGAUGCAGAUCACAAUUGGAGGGUGGUUGUACGAAAAGUUAACGCUUCC